GAAAUGCGAUAAGUAAUGUGAAUUGCAGAAUUCAGUGAAUCAUCGAAUCUUUGAACGCACAUUGCGCCCGCCAGUAUUCUGGCGGGCAUGCCUGUUCGAGCGUCAUUUCAACCAUCAAGCCCCCGGCUUGUGUUGGGGACCUGCGGCUGCCCGCAGGCCCUGAAAAACAGGGGCGGGCUCGCUGUCACACCGAGCGUAGUAGCAUACAUUCUCGCUCAGGGCGUGCUGUGGGUUCCGGCCGUUAAACGACCUUCAUAACCCAAGGUUGACCUCGGAUCAGGUAGGAAGACCCGCUGAACUUAAGC
rnacentral:misc_RNA from 1 species